rnacentral:rRNA from 1 species
UCUGGUGGCUAUAGCACGAGCAAAACACCCGGUCCCUUUCCGAACCCGGCCGUUAAGUGCCGUCGCGCUGAUGGUACUGCGUCUUAAGGCGUGGGAGAGUAAGUCACCGCCAGAC